rnacentral:rRNA from 1 species
GACGAACGCUGGCGGCGUGCUUAACACAUGCAAGUCGAACGGAAAGGCCCUGCUUUUGUGGGGUGCUCGAGUGGCGAACGGGUGAGUAACACGUGAGUAACCUGCCCUUGACUUUGGGAUAACUUCAGGAAACUGGGGCUAAUACCGGAUAGGAGCUCCUGCUGCAUGGUGGGGUGUGGAAAGUUUCGGCGGUUGGGGAUGGACUCGCGGCUUAUCAGCUUGUUGGUGGGGUAGUGGCUUACCAAGGCUUUGACGGGUAGCCGGCCUGAGAGGGUGACCGGCCACAUUGGGACUGAGAUACGGCCCAGACUCCUACGGGAGGCAGCAGUGGGGAAUAUUGCACAAUGGGCGGAAGCCUGAUGCAGCAACGCCGCGUGCGGGAUGACGGCCUUCGGGUUGUAAACCGCUUUCGCCUGUGACGAAGCGUGAGUGACGGUAAUGGGUAAAGAAGCACCGGCUAACUACGUG